rnacentral:lncRNA from 1 species
AGUAGGUCAUUUAUCAUUCCAAAGAGAACCAAACGAAACCCAUCCUGUCGAUGGAUUAUAAAUAUCAUAUUACUUAUAAGCAAUACUAAUCUAAUAAGCAAUACUAAUCUAAGGAAUACCACUCAAAGAGAUCAAAGAUUGUUGAUGUUGGAUCAUGGAAUAUUUAUCUUGACAAGAAUUUAUCUACAUGAUAAAAUAUGUAUCACAAGCACUAAGGGCUAUAGCUCAGUUGGUAGAGCAACUCGUUUACACGCGCGCCAAUGUUUUUCAAGGGAGUUCAUCAUACAAUCAGAAAAAUCGAUCUUGUUGAGAAAUCGAUGUCUUACUCCAUAACUUUGAGGGAACCAUAGCCUGACAAAGGGUUCGGUCCAAUUUGGACGUCCAUUUAGGAGGUGCCAAACAGACCCCAUCAUUGAUUUGAGAUCUUGAUAAGGUGAAUACCCAGUCUAUUCAAUGCUAGGCAUAAUGAGAGUAUAAGGACCUCAAAAAAAUCUCUUUUCGUCAUAUGAACUUUAAGGUGUAUGAAGUUUCAUAUUUGAUUUUUUAAGCAGAAACGAUAGAGACUUCAUUUAACUUAGGUUUAUUUACGCCAGAGAUAGACCUACGUCAAGAUAAUCCCACCUUUGAAACACUUUAGUAAUGCUCCCAAAUAAUGAAUCAGAGCAUGUGGAGCCAUUUCCAAAGUAAGUUACUUCUUCUCAGUACUUCAACUGAGAUAAUGAAAAAUUAUUUCACCUUUUUAGUUCUUUUUAGUUGGAACUUUAGGCGGUUCUCGAAAAAAGAUAGCAAAAAUUUUUUUCCCUAAAGUCGAUACUAAGAGGAAUGUAUAAACCAAUGCUUCCAUAGAUUCGAUCGUGGUUUACAAUUAUAGCUUUCAUACCUGUUUGUUUCUUUUUAUUUUCUUUUUUAUCAUCUUCCAGAUAAAGAACGAACAAGAGUAAAAAUGAAGUUGAUUCAAAUAAAGAUUUCACUGGUAUCCUAUGUCAAUAAAAGUAAAAGAAAGAAAAUAAGGGAAAAAGAAAGAUACCAAAGCAAUGUUGUAUCAGGCUCCCUAUCUUUUUGUAGUUGGAUCUCCAAGUUUUUGGAAUGCCCCAAAUUCGACUUGAGCAUCUAAAUCUGGGUCAAUACCAGCAAAAACAUCUCUGAACAAGGUUCUAGCACCAUGCCAAAUGUGUCCGAAGAAGAAGAGCAAAGCAAACGAAGCAUGCCCAAAAGUAAACCAACCCCUUGGACUGCUACGAAAAACACCAUCAAAUUUCAAAGUAGCACUAUCUAAUUCAAAAAUUUCACCCAAUUGAGGACGUCUAGCAUAUUUUUUCAUAGUAGCAGGAUCACUAUAACUGACGCCAUUGAGUUCACCGCCAUGGAACUCAAUAGUUACACCUACUUGUUCAACACUAUACUUCAAUUCUGCCCUUCUAAAAUGAACAUCGGCCCUAACAAUUCCAUCACCAUCUACUAAAACAACCAAAAAUGUUUCAAAAAAGUAGGCAUACGACGUACAAAAAGUUCACGCCCUUCUUUAUUCUAAAGAUAGGGUGUCCUAACCAUCCAACUGCUAUUCCAUCCCCGUUAUCCAUUGAACCUACUUUGAAUAAUCCUCCUUUUGCUGGAUUAUUGCCGAUGUAAUCAUAAAAAGCUAAUUUUUCAGGAAUUCUAGACUAGGCUCCUGAUAAACUUUGACUUUUUACUAGCCCAGCACUAACUCUUUGAUAUAUUUCUUGCUGGAAGUACCCCUGAUCCUAUUAAUAUCGAGUGGGCACAAAUAAUUCAAUCGGGGUAGUUGCCGAACCAUACCACAUAGUUUCGGCAACAACAAAAGCUGUAAAAAAGACAGCAGCAAUACUACUGGAAAGGACGGUUUCAAUAUUUCCCAUACAUAAUCCUUUGUAUAGACGUUGUGUUGGAUGGACGCUAAAAUGGAAUAGGCCUGCUAAUAUGCCCAAUGUUCCUACUGCAAUGUGAUGAGAGGCUAUUCCUCCUGGAACAAAAGGAUCAAAACCUUCCACGCCCCACGCUGGAUUUACAGGUUGUACUUUUUCCGUUAGUCCAUAAGGAUCGGACACCCAUAUUUUGAGACUAUACAAGCCUGUUACAUGAAAUGCACCAAAACCAAAGAAAGCUACCCCUGAGAGAAAUAAAUGAAUUCCAAAGAGGGUUUUCCUGUACGUUUAUCACAAAAUAUUUCUAGAUCCCAAUACACCCAAUGCUAGAUAGCUGCCAAAAAGCAUAAGCCAAAAAACACAAUAUGUGCUCCUGCUACACCUUCAUAACUCCAAAUACCCGAAUUCGUUAUAGUCCCCCCUGUGAUACUCCAACCGCCUCAUGAAUUGGUUAUUCCUAAAUGAGUCAUGAAGGGUAUAACGAACAUAACCUAUCUCCAUAUUAGAUCAAUAACAGGAUCAGAAAGAUUAAAAACCGCUAAUUCAUACAGAGCCAUCGAACUGGCCCAACCAGCAACCAGAGUUGUAUGCAUUAUAUUAACAGAAAGUAAUCAACCGGGAUCAUUUAAUACAAUGGUACGAACAUGAUACCAAGGCAAACCCAUGGAAAUACCUCUUAUAUCAAAGAUAAAUGGACACUACGUAACUUUAUUGCAUUGGAAAAGACUAUAAUAUGACUAUCCUAUGGACCACUCUUGUUCAGUCGAUUAUUUCUGAAUCAAGGGUGUUCUAUUCUAGUGUUAAUAAUGGAACAAUUCUAUUUGUAGGAACAAAGAGAAGUAGAUUUAUUAAAUACUCGAUAAGUACCAAUACACAAUGGGGGAGUUGAUCUCAUUUUCUAUGAGAGAAUGAGUCCAUACAUAUUUAUCAUUAGAAAGACCUAUACAUAAUAAUUUGAGUUUAUUCAUUCUAUCUUUAUUUAUGAAUUUUUAGAAUCUAUGGAUAAAAUAAAUAUGAUAAGAACCAAUAUGAAUAUUCUAAAGACAAUAAAAAAAUUGUUACGUUUCCACCUCAAAGUGAAAUAUAGUAUUUAGUUCUUUCUUUUAUUUAAUGCCUAUUGGUGUUCCGAAAGUUCCCUUCCGAGGUCCUGGAGAGGCAAAUCCACUUUGGGUUGACGUAUAGUAUGACUUGUCAGAUAUAUUGGGUCAUAUGGUAUUUCCCCGUUCUCUCCCCCGAUCAAGAUAUCCCCCGUUUUGCCCAAAAAUGAUAAAACGAUAAAUUGAAUCAUAAAAAAUUUGGAGCGUGAAGUGCAAUUAGAUCCAUUUUUUAGGGGAUUCAUAUUACUAUUAUCAAUUAGAAUAAUUUAUGGUUGGUUUGGUUGGACUAAAAAAAUGAAGUAUCUAGGCUCCGUUUAGAAAAAACCUAAUUGGAUUGGUAAGAUAUCUAUGAUUGCUAUUCAUAUUUUUUCUUUGUAAUUUGUAAAGAGAUCCUAAUUGUCAAGCAAAGUUAUCUCAACUCUAAUAAAUACUUGUAUAAAAUAAAUUGAAAAAAAAAAAGAAAUACAAAAAGAAAUGGUAAUGGGAGCAUUUGUCCUAUAUGUACAAAUCCAAAUCGGGCGGAUCUUUACCCGGAGUAGAGCAUAAACCUAAAAAGAUGAAACAGACCCAUUCAGGAACAAGAAAAUACCAUCGCGGUUUGGAUUAAAUCUCGAUGAAAGAAUACAUCAAUGAGAAGUUAAUUCGAUAAGUUUAAUGACCCUUUCUUAUAACUUCUAAUUUUAUACUGGAAAAUCGAAAAUAGAAAUAUAAAAAAGGAGUCAAAACUCCUCUUUAUUGAAAAAUCGAAGAAAAACCCUUUCGUUAGAAGUAAGAAAGAACCUUUCUAGAAAUAAAGAAAGAGGACUGGAAUCUAUACAUUGAUUCACAAUUUUUUUGAACCGUAUGCAUCAAAAGGUGCAUGUACAGUUCCUAAGGAAUAUAAUUUUACCCUAAUCAACCGACUUUAUCGACAAAGGUUACUUUUUUUAGGCCAAGGUAUUAAUAGCGAGAUUUCAAAUCAACUUAUUGGUCUUAUGGUAUAUCUCAGUAUCGAGGAUGCGGCCAAAGAGCUGUAUUUGUUUAUAACCUCUCCUGGGUGCUAGGUAAUACCUGCGAUGGCUAUUUAUGAUACUAUGCAAUUUGUGCGACCAGAUGUCAAUACAGUAUGCAUGGGAUUAGCCGCUUCAAUGGGAUCUCUUAUCCUGGUCAGAGGAGAAAUUACCAAAUAUCUAGCAUUCCCUUACGCUUGGUGCCAAUGAGGUUUUUAUUUGAGAGAAAAAAGAAGACUAUGCCUUCGCCAUAUGAAUACUAAGUAAUAAUAGCAUGGCACUUUGAAUUCGAUAUGAGAAAUUUUUGUAUUUUUUUUUCAAAACAUGAGAUUCUGUAUCUAAAGAGUAGUAUGAGAUAAGGGGUAUUUCUAAUUUUCUCUUAUCUAUCGGGAGUUCGGUUCAGCGUCAAAAACUUUUUUGUUUUCAUACCGUAGAGUUCUUAACAAUAUUUAUGUUAUGAAAGAGUAUGAAAAAAAAAAAUAUUUUUUCCUUAUUUGAUCGGAUUAAAAAGAAACUUUGGGAUUGCUGAAUCACAGACAAAAAAAAGAAAAAAGAAACAUAUAAAGUAACGAAGCCAUCAUAGUAUUUUUUAACUCCUCCGAAAGAAAGGAUGGCAAUUUGAUUAUUUACCCAUUGGAGUCUGAUGGAUUUUAUUUUUCUCUUUCUUCAACAGAAAGGAAGGGGGUCAAUUUUCUUUUAGAGCCCUAUGCACAAAAGAUGCCUGUACGGUUGUUCAAUUCUAUCUUUUUUCUAUUCAUUAUCUUUCUUUUCUCUUUGCUUUAUCAUGUGAGAUAGGAGAAGCUUUUAAAUAGCCUAUCAAAGUUGAAAAAAGGAUUCCUCACUUCUUUCUCUUAUUAAAAACCUUGCAUGAGACUUACAUCUCACACGGCUCCUAAGUGAUAAAAGAAAUAAAAACCUAUUUUCUUUGUUUUUUGAUUACCUUCCUCGCGUAUGUAUAAGACCGAAUCCAUUCGAUUUCUAAAAGGAAUUACUAAUCCUUAACUUUUCGAGGAAUCAUUCAUCAGUGGUUG